rnacentral:rRNA from 1 species
AUGGCGGGCACUGCCAUCGCAGCCCACCACCAUCUUCGCCUAAUGCAGCAAAGUCAAGAGCUGGUUCCAGCAAAAAUCGAUGUGCAAAAGAAGCCAUGGCAGCGACGGCACCACCAACCUAUCAAUUGCAGCAAAAUCAAAAAAAGGGCUUCAGCAAAAAAUGAAGUGGUUCCAGCAAAAAAUGAAGUGGUUCCAGCAACCCCUGGGAUAGUUGAUCUUAGCGCUCCCCGUCGCUCGCGAUUCCGCAGGCUUGCGGCAGCACCGUCCCGGCCGCGCGCAGCACAUAGUCUCCCCGCUCCUGCCGCGCGCCACCUGAACGACCAACACCAAGCACCGGUAGCGCCCCGCAUCCAGCCUUGCCGGUGGGUCAGCAGCGAGGAACUGGGUAUAGAGGAGGAGGACGGUGGAAGCAACGCAAUAGCUUUGUGGCAGCCAUGCCUCUGUGAGAGAUUGGGAGUGAGUGGUGGGGAAGGAACACCGAAGGAAAAGGAAAAGGAUAGUACUAGUUGGGCGAGAAAUUUCCUGGGUAGAGCGGCGCGCUGUGUAUCGUAUCAUUGCAAUCCAUCCUGCGGCUCUCUUAUUGAGUUACUGGAGAAAUACAAAGUGCAAGCCAUCAUUGGUCCCCAGAAAUCAUCAGAAGCUGUGUUCAUAUCAAAUCUUGGGAAUUUAACCCAAGUCCCCAUAGUAUCAUUCACAACAACAAAUCCCUCUCUCACUUCUGAUAGUAGGCCAUAUUUUGUACGAGCAACACUGGAUGACUCAGCUCAGGUGAAUAGCAUUGCCUCGCUUGUACAAGCCUAUGGAUGGAGAGAAGUGGUGGCAAUAUAUGAGGACACUGACUAUGGGAGAGGCAUUCUACCAUACCUCAUUGAUGCACUUCAUGAAAUUGAUGCCCACAUUGCACAUCACAGUGUCAUCCCUUCAGCGGCAACAAAUGAGAACAUUGUGCAAGAACUCAAUGGGUUGAUGGCAAUACAAACAAGGGUAUUUAUUGUUCAUAUGUCAUCCACUACGACUUCCCUUCUUUUUACCAAGGCAAAAGAGGUAGGGAUGAUGAACAAGGGAUUUGUGUGGAUCGCCACAAAUGGAGUGGCAAACAUCAUCGACUCACUCAAUCCAAGUGUCAUUGAGGCAAUGAAUGGUGUGCUAGGAGUAAGAUAUUAUGUUCCCAGAUCACAAGAACUUGACAACUUAUCCAUAAGGUGGAACAGAAUGUACCAACACGAUAACCCGGAGGAGUCACCCUUUAAUAAACUAAGCAUUUUUGGACAAUGGGGCUAUGAUACGGUAUGGGCAUUGGCACAAGCAGCAGAAAAUGUUGGGAUAUCCGGUGCCAGAAAUAAGCAACCAUGGUCCAUUAAAAACUCCACAUGCUUGGAAUCAAUGUUAAAGCAAGAAUACUUCGAAAAGACAGGACCGGACUCAAUGCCUGACCUAAAUCCUGUAAUUUGGCCACGAGAGUCCACCGAAAUACCAAUGGGCUGGGGAAUUCCUACGGUUGCGAGUGGACUGGUAAUUGGCAUAUUUGAGGAGGCAGUAAAGAGGCUACAUCAUCCAUUUUCUUAUGAGUACCUAAAUUUUGACACAAAUGGUACAAAAACUUCGGGGAGCUACAAUGAUUUUGUUUAUCAAGUCUAUCGUGGGGAAUACGACAUAGCUGUUACAGACAUUACUAUAAGAUACAAUAGAUCACUGUAUGUCGACUUCACCGUACCAUACACAGAAUCCGGAGUAGGGAUGAUUGUUCCAUUCAAGGAAAAAGUGAAUACGGAUAUGUGGCUUUUCUUGAAACCAUUGAGCAUUGAGAUGUGGUUUGGAAGCAUCAUAUUCUUUAUAUACACGGGAGUUGCUGUCUGGCUGCUGGAGUAUCUAAAUGGCAAUGAACAUCCGUCUCUUUCCUCCCCGCGCCGCCUGCCCCGGAUCUGGAGGAAGAGGAGGGAGGCAGGAUCUGGAGGAGGAAGAGGAGAUCCGAGCGUCCCGGCGGUGGCUCGACCGAUGCGAGGUGACGACGAGCUAAUGAGUGCCUCUUCGACUCCUUCCUCCGUCCUCGCCGCUGCCGCCGCUCCGACUCCUCUCUCCGUGCUCGCCGCCGCUGCCGCCUCUAUUUACGUCCUGCGGGAUGACGCCGCAGCUCCGUCUGACCGACCCUCAUGGAGGCGUGCAGUUUUGUUGAUCUACAUGCAUUUUCAGCAUUAUAGUAUUGACCCCUCGUCCGCCCCGGGGUUGGAUCGAGGCAUGGGAGCGACGGAUGCGGGCGUCGACCUGCGAAGAGGCGAGAGGAGCGGUGGUUGCGGCGUUGAGCUGCGAAGAGGUGCCGCUCGGGCGCGAGACCACAGAGGCGGGAGCGGCUGCUUCGGGCCCCGGCCGUCUCAUUCACCGAUGACGGCCUCCUCGGCCUCAACAUCAAGGGCCGCCUUCUCGCAGAGAAGAACUUCAAGCUGCAGAAGAGGAAGAGCGGCGCCGUCGAGUUCGCCUAGACCAUACUCGACUUCAGAAAGGGCCAAGACGUCAGGAUCAAGGCCGGAUACGAGCUCUAUCGCAAGGUACAAAGCUGAAAUGCUUGAUGAUGCGCCUCGUAUAUUCGAGGCUGUUUUCCAGUGUACCCUUGCGUUCUGCACUAUGCUCUGCUGGAUGUCGCCUAAGCAGAGGAUGCGGCAGUCUCGGCCACAUUUGGCCUCUGAUCAUGUCUGCAGUGUGCGGCUAGGUUAUUCGUCCGUCUGGGUCGUAGGUUCUUUCCUUCCUGCCAACGGCGGCCGUCACCACCCAGUACCCACCCUCUACUGCUCCACCGCGCACCCACCUCCCCUUGGAUCAGGUGCAGGCCGGCCGGUGCGCGCAGGCGGCGGCGCUCCACUCGAGGGCAAAGGGAGGCAACGGCGGCGGUGGCCGCCGUGGACACCCGCGGCUAUGGUGAGCCCCUGCGCCACCGCCCUCUCUUCUCUCCUCCCCUACUCCCUCACCCAUCUCUCUCCCACGCAGACGAACCCCGUUGCUAGGAGGUCACCAUGGAGGCCCGUCCCGAGCUCGGCUCGCCGCUCCUCCGGUGACCCUCGUUGUGCCUGGAUCCGGGUCGGGUGGAUCCGACGAUUCCCCGACGCGCAGGCGGGCCGGCACGCGGCCCUAGGCGGAGGAGCCCUCCCAUGGCGCCGACGGCUCUGGAGAUGA